rnacentral:rRNA from 1 species
GAGUUGUAAUUUGCAGAGGAUGUUAUGGAAUCUGUGUGGACUCAAGUUCUUUGGAAAAAGACGCCAUGGAGAGUGACAGUCUCGUACUUUCCACCACAUUUUCCGUGUAUAACUCCUUCAAAGAGUCGAGUUGUUUGGGAAUGCAGCUCUAAGUGGGACGUAAAUUUGUUCCAAAGCUAAAUACCGGCUAGAGACCGAUAGCGCACAAGUAGAGUGAUCGAAAGAUGAAAAGCACUUUGAAAAGAGAGUCAAACAGCACGUGAAAUUGUUGAAAGGGAAGCUUAUGUCAUCAGAAAUGGUCUCAUUGUUCAGCCUUUUGGUGUAUUCAAUGAUGGCUAGGCUAGCAUCAGUUUGGACAGCUGGAUAAAAGUGUUGGAAAUGUAGCUCCCCCGGGAGUGUUAUAGUCUGAUACAGAAUGCAGCUCGUCCAGACUGAGGACCGCUUUAAGGAUGC